GAUGAACGCUGGCGGCGUGCCUAAUACAUGCAAGUCGAGCGAACAGACGAGGAGCUUGCUCCUCUGACGUUAGCGGCGGGCGGGUGAGUAACACGUGGAUAACCUACCUAUAAGACUGGGAUAACUUCGGGAAACCGGAGCUAAUACCGGAUAAUAUAUUGAACCGCAUGGUUCAAUAGUGAAAGACGGUUUUGCUGUCACUUAUAGAUGGAUCCGCGCCGCAUUAGCUAGUUGGUAAGGUAACGGCUUACCAAGGCAACGAUGCGUAGCCGACCUGAGAGGGUGAUCGGCCACACUGGAACUGAGACACGGUCCAGACUCCUACGGGAGGCAGCAGUAGGGAAUCUUCCGCAAAGGGCGAAAGCUUGACGGAGCAACGCCGCGUGAGUGAUGAAGGUCUUCGGAUCGUAAAACUCUGUUAUUAGGGAAGAACAAAUGUGUAAGUAACUAUGCACGUCUUGACGGUACCUAAUCAGAAAGCCACGGCUAACUACGUG
rnacentral:rRNA from 1 species